GGGUGACUAGUCUAGUGGUUAGGACGGUUCGUUGUGGUUUAAAAUCGAUUACGACAUCCGAACAAACCCCGGUUCGAUUCCGGGGUCGCCCA